CAGUAGCGUAUAUUAAAGUUGUUGCAGUUAAAAGCUCGUAGUUGGAUUUCUGGUACGCUGCGCCUAGCCCGCCUGCAUUUAGCGGUGUGUGUGCUGGAGCGCGGUUGCCAUCCUUCUAGAGAACGUUUCUAUCCUUCACUGGACCGGAUUCGCAAUCUAGAUCUUUUACUUUGAAAAAUUAGAGUGUUUAAAGCAGGCUUUUGCUAUGAAUACAUUAGCAUGGAAUAAUAAUAUAGGACUUUGGUUCUAUUUUGUUGGUUUCUAGGACUGAAGUAAUGAUUGAUAGGGAUAGUUGGGGGUGCUAGUAUUCAGCGGCCAGAGGUGAAAUUCUUGGAUUCGCUGAAGACUAACUUAUGCGAAAGCAUUCACCAAGGAUGUCUUCUUUAAUCAAGAACGAAAGUUGGGGGAUCGAAGAUGAUCAGAUACCAU
rnacentral:rRNA from 1 species